rnacentral:rRNA from 1 species
GACGAACGCUGGCGGCGUGCCUAAUACAUGCAAGUCGAACGGACAGGCCCUGCGCUUGUGGGGUGCUCGAGUGGCGAACGGGUGAGUAACACGCGAGUAUCCUGCCCUUGUCUUAGGGGUAACUUCAGGAAACAGGGGAUAAUACCGGAUAGGAGCUCCUGCUGCGCGGGGGGGGUUGGAAAGUUUCGGCGGUUGGGGAUGGACUCGCGGCUUAUCAGCUUGUUGGUGGGGUAGUGGCUGACCAAGGCUUUGACGGGUAGCCGGCCUGAGAGGGUGACCGGCCACAUUGGGACUGGGAUACGGCCCAGACUCCUACGGGCGGCAGCAGUGGGAAAUAUUGCGCAAUGGGCGGAAGCCUGAUGCAGCAACGCCGCGUGCGGGAUGACGGCUUUCGGGUUAUAAACCGCUUUCGCCGGUGACGAAGCGUGAGUGACGGUAAUGGGUAAAAAAGCACCGGCUAACUACGUG